rnacentral:miRNA from 1 species
GACGAGCGCCGGCUGGAAGGUUUCCCAUCCAGUCGGCGAGGUACACGUACCUCAUCGACUGGAACGUUUCCCUUCCAGUCGACGAGGCACAUGGCUUGCCGACUGGAAGGACCUUGCCGGCUGGAAGGAAAACCUUCCAGCCGGCCAUUGGUC